rnacentral:pre_miRNA from 1 species
UUCUGCAAAUAUAGAAUAUUUGGUUUUGGUCCUUGGUAUUUUGUUUUAAUCCUUGUAAAAUCAUUUCAUAUUGAAAUUGGUCCCUAUAAUAUUCAUUUUAGUCCUCAUUUUGAGGGACUAAAAUCAAAUAUUCUACAUAUUGCAAGGAUCAAAACCAAAAUUUUCAUAUUUGCAGGGACAAAACCAAAAAAAUAUUUUUAUAGGGACUAAAACAAAAAUGUCAGAUAUUUGGAGGGA